rnacentral:rRNA from 1 species
UACGUAGGGUGCAAGCGUUGUCCGGAAUUACUGGGCGUAAAGAGCUCGUAGGUGGUUUGUCGCGUUGUUCGUGAAAACUCACAGCUUAACUGUGGGCGUGCGGGCGAUACGGGCAGACUGGAGUACUGCAGGGGAGACUGGAAUUCCUGGUGUAGCGGUGGAAUGCGCAGAUAUCAGGAAGAACACCAAUGGCGAAGGCAGCUCUCUGGGACGGUACUGACGCUGAGACGCGAAAGCGUGGGGAGCGAACAGG